rnacentral:tRNA from 1 species
GCCAUCGUAGCUUAAAACUCAAAGCAUGACAUUGAAGCCGUCAAGAUAGACCUUAAACCGUCUCGAAGGCA